AGAGUUUGAUCAUGGCUCAGAAUGAACGUUGGCGGCGUGGAUUAGGCAUGCAAGUCGAGCGAGAACCCAGCAAUGGGGGACAGCGGCGCAAGGGACAGUAAUGUGUAGAUUAUCUGCCCUCAGGCCCGGGAUAGCUGCGGGAAACUGCAGGUAAUACCGGAUAACAUCUCCGGAUCAAAGGUGUGAUUCCGCCUGAGGAUGAGUCUACAUCCUAUUAGCUUGUUGGCAGGGUAACGGCCUACCAAGGCUUUGAUGGGUAGCGGGUGUGAGAGCACGACCCGCGUCAUUGGGACUGAGACACUGCCCAGACACCUACGGGUGGCUGCAGUCGAGAAUCUUCGGCAAUGGGCGCAAGCCUGACCGAGCGACGCCGCGUGCGGGAUGAAGGCCUUCGGGUUGUAAACCGCUGUCAGAGGGGAUGAAAUGCAGGUGGGUUCUCCCAUCUGUUUGACAUAGCCUCAGAGGAAGGACGGGCUAAGUUCGUGCCAGCAGCCGCGGUAAGACGAACCGUCCAAACGUUAUUCGGAAUCACUGGGCUUAAAGGGUGCGUAGGCGGCGCGGAAAGUUGGGUGUGAAAUCCCUCGGCUCAACCGAGGAAUUGCGCCCAAUACUGCCGUGCUCGAGGAAGAUAGAGGUGAGCGGAACUUAGGGUGGAGCGGUGAAAUGCGUUGAUAUCCUAAGGAACACCGGUGGCGAAAGCGGCUCACUGGAUCUUUUCUGACGCUGAGGCACGAAAGCUAGGGUAGCGAACGGGAUUAGAUACCCUAGUAGUCC
rnacentral:rRNA from 1 species